GAGGAAUUGUGAGGCAGGAAUGUGGCCCAUGCUGGUGGCACAGCACCAGACAGGCUCUGUCCCCAAACAGGGGUUGGUUUAUUGUAUGCCAGCUGGAGUUGGCACCAGUGGCACCCAUUAUCUCCCCAGGAGGAGUUAAGGUAUCUCCUGUCAAAGCAGAGCAAUAGGAAAUGCAGAUAAACACCUGGAGCAGGUCUCCUCCUGGGCUCCUUCUCCUGGCAUUUCCCUCAGAGCACGGGUCACCUUCUAGGCCUGGCUUAAUCACUGUUUUCACUCCUUUUGACCCUGCACUCUGCUAAUUUGUGGAAUCAACUCUUCCCUGCACAGAGGCCGACCCAGACAGAGCUCUCCAUCUAUGAUGAGUCUGUGGAUGAGGGCAGUGCAGAGUACAAGAACCUGGAGGAGGAGAUGUUUGGGAGCAUGUUCCACUCAGAGACCCAGACAGCUCUGUGAGCACAGUGAGCACCGGGCAGACCCUCCAGAGGGGACUCCUCCAGACCCUCCAGAGGAGAUUUCUCUCUCUCACCCCUCUGUGAAGAUCUGUGCUUCUUCCUGGGGAUACAACAGGUUUGCAAUGAGGCCAUCGCCCUUCAGAGGAGAUUCAGAUCAUCAUCAUCAACUGCCAGAUCCUCUCUCCUCCCUGCUCUGCUCGUGGCAAACCCUCCAGAGAAGAAUCCUCUCUCCCACCUCUCCAUGGAGAGCUGUGCUUCUGCCUGGGGUUACAACAGGUUUGCAACGAGGCCAUCACCCUCCAGAACUGCCAGAUCCUCCCUGCUCUGCUCGUGGCACUCAGAGCAGAGGACUCUGAGCAGGCAGAGCCAGCUGGGGCAGCAGGAGCUCAGCAGACGCCAUCUGAUGGGUUCUCAGCUGCAGGCAGGUGCCUGAGCUCAGGGGAUGUUCAGCCACCCCUUUGUCCCUCACCAUCCUUCUGCCCCACUGGAAUUGCAUCCCCUGGCCGUCCUCCUGCUCCUUGCCUUUCCCUCCUCGCUGUUUCCCGCACCAAGUGAAACACAAGCAAACACUGAAAGCCUUUCAGGAGGUGUGGCAGGGCAGCUGUGCCAGCUGCUGCUGCUCUCUGAUGUGCACUGACCCCGGCGGGGGCUGGCACUGCAGCCCCCCGAAUUCCCCUGCGUGUCUCUGCAGCCUCUGCCUCUCCUCUUCUGUGUCCCAGCAUCCCAAAAAACACUGCCUCGGACCAGUGACACCCCAAAGACCUCAGGACUCUCGCAGCAGGGCUAAAUUCUGAAAUAUAUAUAUAUUUUUCUUACUAAUAGGACAGGUUUGCACUCAGAAAUAAGAAUUAUGUGCACGUUGUCCUGCCUGCCCAGUGGGUUGAGUACAUCUGAAAACAGAUUCUAUUUUAAAAUGCUAUUUCUAUUUUAACACUCUAAAAUAUUACAAAUGUAAGCAAGCUUUAGUGUAUGGUUUGGAAGUACACAGACGUUAUUGAGCUGAUUGCUGAAGGCUUCCUGGGGCUUUCCUGCAGCUCCCAGAUGUCUCAUUUUUAAGGAAAAUAGUUUCCUGAACCAUCCUUGCUAGACAGUCACCGAAGGAAACAACAGCAGCAGCCUGCCAGUUUGGUUUUAUGUAACAUCUCAAUAACCAAGUCACCAUUUCUCUACCUCAAUUUCUGAUUAUGUGGUGCAGGAGAGUAACAAAACCAAAGGAGGGCAGAAAACCCC
ensembl:lncRNA